rnacentral:pre_miRNA from 1 species
GGCAGGAAAAGAGGAAGUUGCAAAGUAGAAGGAAAAGGAACAGUCGAGGAUACGUUCCUUUUUCUUCUACUUUGCAACUUCCUCUUUUCCUGCC